AGCAGUCGCCGCGGUAAUACGGAGGGUGCAAGCGUUAAUCGGAAUUACUGGGCGUAAAGCGCACGCAGGCGGUCUGACAAGUCAGAUGUGAAAUCCCCGGGCUUAACCUGGGAACUGCAUUUGAAACUGUCAGGCUGGAGUCUUGUAGAGGGGGGUGGAAUUCCAGGUGUAGCGGUGAAAUGCGUAGAGAUCUGGAGGAAUACCGGUGGCGAAGGCGGCCCCCUGGACAAAGACUGACGCUCAGGUGCGAAAGCGUGGGGAGCAAACAGGAUUAGAUACCCCGGUAGUCCCUGUCUCUUAUAC
rnacentral:rRNA from 1 species